AAAUUGAAGAGUUUGAUCAUGGCUCAGAUUGAACGCUGGCGGCAGGCCUAACACAUGCAAGUCGAGCGGCAGCGGGAAAGUAGCUUGCUACUUUUGCCGGCGAGCGGCGGACGGGUGAGUAAUGCCUGGGGAUCUGCCCAGUCGAGGGGGAUAACAGUUGGAAACGACUGCUAAUACCGCAUACGCCCUACGGGGGAAAGGAGGGGACCUUCGGGCCUUUCGCGAUUGGAUGAACCCAGGUGGGAUUAGCUAGUUGGUGG
rnacentral:rRNA from 1 species